AGCAACUUCCACCAGCAAGAAACUCUGCAGCAUUAAACGCAGCUCUAAAAUCCUCCAAAGUGCAUACUCCGUGGAGCACACAGCGGAACGACGAUCGCUGUGACAUGCGAAGGUGGGAAAUCCUGUAAGCGGCUGGAACGCAAACAAGCGUUGGAGAUUUCGUUGGACGAUUCGAACACAGCGGCGACAUUCACAAGCGAUCCAUCCGAGGUUGGCUUCAAUACGAAAACUGUCGGCGUCAGAAGUGGGUUGGCGAGGGUUCGGGGAAGAGGAGAAGGAGGCUCGUCUGGCAGGAAUUCGAUGAACUAUACAGCCAGUGACUGGUCGUAACUGAAAUUCUAUCCAGUUAGCUGCAAAACGAUCAGUUACGUCACGAACACCAUCGAAGCACUCUCUUCUGGAAAACGUCGACAACACAGGCGUAGAACCCAACCUAACCUCCACA
rnacentral:misc_RNA from 1 species